GAAAUGCGAUAACUAGUGUGAAUUGCAGAAUUCCGUGAAUCAUCGAGUCUUUGAACGCACAUUGUGCCCCCUGGUAUUCCGGGGGGCAUGCCUGUCCGAGCGUCAUUGCUGCCCAUCAAGCACGGCUUGUGUGUUGGGUCGUCGUCCCCUCUCCGGGGGGGACGGGCCCCAAAGGCAGCGGCGGCACCGCGUCCGAUCCUCGAGCGUAUGGGGCUUUGUCACCCGCUCUGUAGGCCCGACCGGCGCUUGCCGAACGCAAAUCAAUCUUUUUCCAGGUUGACCUCGGAUCAGGUAGGGAUACCCGCUGAACUUAAGC
rnacentral:misc_RNA from 1 species